rnacentral:lncRNA from 1 species
CUUGGUUAAAAAUUGAGAAGAAAAAAAAGAGGGUUCACUGCACAUUUGCAGCAACUGGAGGCGGCGAAGGCUGAGAUUCUUGGAUAUCGUCGAUUUUUCGGUCAGUUUCACAUCGCAUUUACAGUAAUUGAACUUAGCAAUGGCGCGAACUAAACCUAAUCGACCGGGUGAGAUUUUAUAUGCGAAAUUUUAUGAAGUUUCAGAUUUAAUUCAUGUGAGAUUUGUUUUGUUGUGUUCUUUGUUAGAUCUGGGUCAAAGUUUUUUGAACCUUUUAAGAAUUGGGUGUGUUCUUAAUAAUUGUCGAUUCAUCCUUUUGGUCUUAAUUCUUCGCACGUAAAAAUGUUGAUGUAUGAUUUGUUGUAUUAAUCGGAUUUUCAUUUGAGAGGUAAUUAAAUUGUGAAGAACAGUAUUAAAAACAUGAUAUAACAUUUAUUUUAAACUUAAUUUUGUCAAUGGGUAUUGUAAUAUAUCACUACCUGACCUUCGACCUAUAUUGCAUUAAUUAUUGAUGUUGUAGGUAGAGGCAUGAAACUACAUGUGAAUGAACGUGAAUUAUCUUUAAUUUCUUGUGAAUGAAAUUAUGGUAUAUUUUAAUCAUAUUAUGAUUCGUAUUGAUAGUAAAAAAAUUCGCAUAUAUAUGCAAUAUUGAUAAUAAAAAAUAUAUAUAUAUAUUUUUGCUGAACUGUUUGAUCUGUAUGCAGUAACCUCAACUUAUUAUUUCGUUCAUAUAAUUCCAAAUCAAUCUACAGCUUGAGGAUGUUAUCGUAUUUGAAAGCACAUAUUCUGGCUUAUACUAUGCUUACAUGGAUCAACUUUUUAGCCAGACCAGAAUCGUCUGAUAAUCACACAAAUUGAGCACAUUAUUUCAAAUUCUGCUACUUGUAAGAUACUGUGAAAAUAAAUAUCUAUACAUACAAAUAUAGUUCCAUUCAUGAAUGAUUAAUAUGCAAUUAAAUGUCUAAAAUCAAGUAAAGCGUAGAGACUGUGCAAUUAAAUAUCUAAAGUCUGCAUUCGGGUAUAAUUCUUGUUCAAUGCGUACAAAGUGAUGCUUAGGGGGGGGAGGGGGUUCAGUAUAAGUGUACAAAAAGAGCCUAUUAUUUUUUUUCCCCCUAUGUAUGUUAUACAUCUCAUAAAUUGUAGCUUUCUUCUAUUUUAUUCAUUAUAGACAUUGGUUUGUUUAGAUUGCUGAUUUGUGUGUAUAUAUGUAUUUAGCUAGUGUCCAGGGGAAGGGCAAAUAGAUUGCAAACUGCUAAAGGAAUGCCGAUAGAUCCAGUCGAUCAAAUUUAAUUGAAGGUUUGGUUAAUGAAUUAAAUUUAUAUAAGUCUAUGGGUAUUAUGACGAUGAGAGUUAUGCUGUAAUAGUAUGUAUAAAUGAAAUGUGUUUCGCAGUACGUACGAAGCUUCGGAAUGAUCCAACUUUAACAGGGUUUUUGCGAUUGAUGGUUAAUGGUAUGUCAUAUUAGAGAGAAAUUCAUUCAUAGUAUUGUGUUGUGGAGACGUGCACUUUCAUUUAAAUUUCGGAGUAACUGUUGAUUCAUGUUUGUUGUUUAAUUAGGUGAGAAACUGAAGAGGAAGAACAUGGAAACAUCUACCGCAGGCCCCACUGAAAAUUCGGCAAUCCCUACAGUUGGUUUAGGAUCUCCGGUAGCUCCUGCGAAGAAGACAAGCUAGGCAUGACAAAUUAUAAUGGAGCAACUGUUAGAUCAUAUGUGAUCAAUACACUGUGAUCAUACAAAUUGGACGAAUAAUUAUGUAUUACUGCAUGAAUCGCUAUGCAACUGUGAUGAAUAAAAAGUAUGUUACAAUAGUAGCAACGAAACAGUGAAUUGUUCAUCGUAAAUUAUGAACAUGUUCAUACGAAUUGGACGAAUAAUUAUGUAUUACUGUAUGAAUCGCUAUGCAACUGUGGA